AGGAAAGGGAGGGAUUCGAAC
rnacentral:tRNA from 10 species